rnacentral:rRNA from 1 species
GACAAGACUACCCGCUGAACUUAAGCAUAUCAAUAAGCGGAGGAAAAGAAACUAACCAGGAUUCCCCUAGUAACGGCGAGUGAAGCGGGAAGAGCUCAAGCUUAAAAUCUCUAUGCAAGUUUUGCAUGGCGAAUUGUAGUCUAUAGAGGCGCUGUCAGUGCAGCUAUUUGGGAUAAGUUCCUUGGAAGAGGACAGCAUCGAGGGUGAUACUCCCGUUUGUGCCUGAGUAGCUUGUGCGUACGACACGUUUUCUUUGAGUCGCGUUGUUUGGGACUGCAGCGCAAAGUAGGUGGUAAAUUCCAUCUAAAGCUAAAUAUUGGUGCGAGACCGAUAGCGAACAAGUACCGUGAGGGAAAGAUGAAAAGAACUUUGAAAAGAGAGUUAAAGAGUACCUGAAACUGCUGAAAGGGAAGCGAAUCGUAUCCAGUGUCUAUAAUCUGUAGCAUAUUUCAUUGGCGAGUAGGUGCGUGCAGUAUGUAAGAAGUGGUUUUCUGCUCUUUGUGCUGUUCUGCGUUUGCUUGUUGGUGCCCUGUGUUGCGGUGGGACGUCAGAGUCAGUUCGUAUGCUGUGAGAAAUGGCUACUGAGGAGGUAGGUUAGGAGCUUGCUCUUGGCUGUUAUAUCUUGGUAGUUAGUUGUCGUGGUUGGGACUGAGGUGCCUACAAUGUGCUUUAAAGUGUUUGGGACUCUCGUUUGGUUACCUGUUUGGAUAGCUUGCUAUGCUGACGGAGUGAUUGGUCGAUUGAGAUCUAGAGUAACUUUUGCCGUUCGGGACUUUGACGAAAUGGAGCGAUUCGGCCCGUCUUGAAACACGGACCAAGGAGUCUAACAUGUGUGCAAGUGUUAGGGUGUGGAAACCCCAGCGCGAAAUGAAAGUAAAGGAUGGCGUACGCUGUCUGAGGUAGGAAACCUUUCUUCUGAGAGGUGGCACUAUCGACCGAUCAUGAACCCUCGUGGUGAAAGAUUUGAGUUUGAGCACAUAUGUUGGUACCCGAAAGAUGGUGAACUAUGCCUGAGUAGGGUGAAGCCAGGGGAAACUCUGGUGGAAGCUCGUAGCGAUUCUGACGUGCAAAUCGAUCGUCAAACUUGGGUAUAGGGGCGAAAGACUAAUCGAACCAUCUAGUAGCUGGUU